CAGUGUCCCACUUUUUGAUGUCUUCAAGGACGCCAGUGGCAUCACUCCUCUACAAUGUUACCCGCACUCUCAUGCAAGCAAUAUGUCCUUGACAAUGUAAACUUAUACGCGUAUAAAAAGAAAGGAGACUUUUAGUGCUGGUUUACUAAAAUGUAUACAGUGUAGACUUGAGACAAACUGGAGGAGGACAGUUUCUCUGAGAUAGAACAUGGUACGAAUGGGAGGGGGGACCUCUGAACGAUGUGGAGAAGUUGAGCAGCAACCCGCUGAUGCUCAUUCCUGCCAUCAGUGACGCUGAUGGCCGAUAAGUGCCUUUUGUAGAGGAUCACUUGGUGGACGGCAAAACCGCAAAUCAACCAAACCUUUUUGGAGUGCCAUAGUCGUCACAGAAUGAGCCCAUGUGGAGGGACCUGAAAGCGCUGAGGACUCAUCGGACUUGUCUCCUUGUCUCCUCACGUCCCAGACUUUGCUAACAGCACGAGGACAUGUGCUCCUCCGGACGGCGGCCACGUGGCCGGCAUGGCAGAGCCCCUUGUGUACACCCAUUACAGCCAUCAGGGGUCUUAUUCGCUGACGGAGAGUCAAGGGCCCAUCAUCAGGGGCCUCGGUGGCCCUGCUCUGAGCUGUCACGUUCGUGCCUGAAUGGAAUUUUGAUAGUUUCAUAGUGUCCUGUGAUUUGUCUUUGGUUAGGGUUUUCUUCUUUUUCUGUUAGCUUUCUGAAGGGUGUCCUCCCCGUACCUUCGCGAUGCCUCUAGCGCCCCCCCCGUCCUCGGUCAAGUCAGAUGUUCUCGUCACCAAUCACCGCAGACAAAGGUGACGUGCCGAAGGCCACGAGGGUAAACAAGGGAGCGGGGAGCAGAACGCCCUUCAGACCAUUUCAGACCAAUCCAUCAGCUUCCAGGAUGUACGCCAAAAAAUAGAAAAGCCUUUAUUUUUAUCUUUGCCUUAUCCAUGUGUGACAGGUGUACACAUCAUCGUGCUAACGACCUCCUGUAUGUACAGGCCGAUAAGGCCUGAGUCGGCAAAUCUUUCUGUCAGGAGAGCCCGUUGUUAAAGUCAAAGUCAUUCGUUUCAAAACACGCUCUACACGUCGGAAAAGAAUUGCUGAAAACUCGUGGAAAGACUGAAGUUGAUCGUUUGUCAUAGUCAUUCAUUCCGUCUAACCGGACGAAGAAUGAUGUAAUGCUUUGAACCUCUCCUUAAAAGGAACAGUUGUGAGUUCUGUGAGAGUCGGACGAGGAAACGAUGAAGCUUGUUUGUCUGCUGUCACUCUUCAGGAUGGGGGACGAUCCUCUGGCUGCCUGUUCAUGACGCUAAGCAGCCUCGUGGUUUUCCGGCUUAGUGUUCAGACACGAGACGGCUCUCAUUCUGCUCCAUCCAUCUCUCUGCGUAGUCAAUGAGUGUGUUCCAUAAAAAGGUCCUUUAAGUGAGAGCCUCCUCCGGUGAAAGCGCCACAAUGGGGGCGUGGCUUGUGCGGUGGUCAUUUAUCUCACGCCGGAGGAAAAUGGAUGAGUUUCUCCACACAUUCCCCAGAGAAGCAGCAGAGUGAGCUGCACCCCCCCCUCCCCCCUCAUAAAGUCUGUCCCCAUGAACCCAGAGCUGACGCUGCCGCCGGCGUCUUCCUCCUGUCUGCGCUCCUCGUCCUUCCUCCUCGCUCCUUCCUCGAACACAGACGAGACGUCUAUUCCCGCGGAAAAAGAUUGCGAUGUGGAGGUGUGGAGGAGGCCCGUGUGUGUCCACCAGGGGAGCUGGAAGGCCUGUGGGUGCCCUCAGGAGAGCAUCAUCUGGGGUCAAGGAGGGGAUUGGGGAGCGUAGGAUGCAAGGAGACAGGAGAUGUAUCAGGUGGGGGAAUCUAGGAGACAAGGGGAGAGGAGUAGAGAGACUGGGGGGGCGUUUUUAUCCAACCACUAGAACAAAGCAGCAGCCUAACCAGCGCCCGAGCCCGGAUCCAAACGCCGGUUUAAUUGAUGCUUGAGCAAGUGAGUUCACGCUACAGCCUCCCUCCUCCUAUGGGAGAACUUUUAAAAAACGAUCUCAAGUCUUUUGCUGCUAUCGUCUUCAGAUCCUCUGCCGGGGGGGGGGGGGGAACGCUUGUGCUCGCUGUACGGUUGUUGUUAUUUUGGAAUAAGACAAAAAGCAGGCUUUGUUGAGUCACAUGCCCCCGUUUUUCUGUCUUAUUCCUCACAGUUGUUUUUGUUGCUGAGGGAAACGGUUGAAUGGAUUUGAAGCGCUCGCUCAAAUCUAAUGAGACAAGCUGUCUUUCAUAGUAAAAAGAAAGGAAAAGGUCUCGCGAAGGCUGCGGUAGAGACGAGGACGGGGUGGGUUUGAUAAGCAGGUGUGAGUACGUGUUGGGGAGGCGGGCGGAGGUAUUUAGGGAGAUGAUGUUGUAUGUGUUUUAAUGAACCUGAAGAUGGUGUUUGGGUGAAGAAAGGAAAGCGUGAGCGAAGCUGCGGGGCCCCCGCCGAGGACUGCUGGUCCCGCUUCGGAGAGCCUCGUUUGGAGGCGCCGGCGGGGGACCAGCGGGAGCGGCAGAGGAAGCCGCCUGUCGAUGAACGAGGCUCGCAGCCGCGCCUGCGUGCCGCCGCUUCUUGUCCCGGGGGGGGGGGGGGCGGGUGCCAAAAACAAAGGAACUGUGGAAAGCUGAUCCGUCACAGACACACACACAUAACAGGCAGAGGCCUGGAGGUAGACCAAAGGAGCUGCUGAUCUGUUAUGUUCUUUGUUUUAUUACUGUCGUCGUUAUGUAGAUGUUUGACCCUCAAAAGGGACGCCGCGAGGAGAGGCUCCAUCGCCCCACGGGGCGUUAACGCGGGGGCCGUUCCUUCCUGCACACGGGGCAUUUCUUUACCCAACGCUUCGUCUUGCUACCUUUCUUUUGUAUCUUGUACAUGUUUACAUUGUAUCUCCCAUCGCCCAAAAGAGAAACCGUAUUAAAUGUAUUAUCUCUGUUUUAGAACGACUCCUUUGCGUUUGUCUCACACUUGGGUUCGCGUGUGCCGCUGCGGAUUAAAGAGCAGCCAGCCGGCUCUCCGCUCGCCAUGAGCGAUGGCGUGUGGAAGGAAUGCUACAGAUUGAGACGUUUGUCUUUAUUCGCCUUCUUGCGCCGGCUGGAUUAA
ensembl:lncRNA